UUUAUUUUUCACAUUUUGCGUAUGUUACACGAUGUUAUAAAAUGUUAUCGUGACACAAUGUUUUAUAACGUUAUA